ACUCAAAUGAAUAGACGGGGACCCGCACAAGCAGAGGAGCAUGUGGUUUAAUUCGAAGAUACGCGAAAAACCUUACCAAGACUUGACAUCCCACGAAAAGCCGCGAAAUCGGUACUCCCAGCAAUGGGCGUGGUGACAGAUGGUGCAUGGUUGUCGUCAGCUCGUGUCGUGAGAUGUUCGGUUAAGUCCGGUAACGAGCGCAACCCUUGUCUUUAGUUGCCAUCAGUUCGGCUGGGCACUCUAGAGAGACUGCCGUAGACAAUACGGGGGAAGGUGGGGAUGACGUCAAAUCAUCAUGCCUCUUACGUCUUGGGCUACACACGUGCUACAAUGGUAACUACAAAGUGUUCCGAACCAGUAAUGGGGGGGCAAUCACAUAAAAGUUAUCUCAAUUCGGAUUGUGGGCUGCAACUCGCCCACAUGAAGUCGGAUUUGCUAGUAAUCCCGAAUCAGCAUGUCGGGGUGAAUGCGUUCCCGGGUCUUGCACACACCGCCCGU
rnacentral:rRNA from 1 species